UGGAACACGGGCCUCGACUGUUUACCAAAAACAUAGCCCUCGGCCAAUAUGAAAAUAGAUGUAUAGAGGGUGAUGCCUGCCCAAUGGUUGUAUCUAAAAGCGGUUGAUAAAAGUCGACCUCGUAAGGACAAUUGAAUGGCCGCGGUAACACUGACCGUGAUAAUGUAGCGUAAUCAAUAGCCAAUUAAUUGUUGGCCAGUAUGAAUGGCGCCACGAAGGCCCCACUGUCUUAAGGAAAUUCCCAGUGAAAUUGAAUUCGUAGUGAAGAUGCUACGUCCAAUUUGUUAGACGAAAAGACCCCGUUGAGCUUUACUGGGGCACUUACACGGCCCCGGCCUUCCCGUGUUCGGGAACCGGCCGAAUUUAAAUGGGUGGUUUAGACUAUGUGGCAGCCCCCCGCCGGGGCAGAUGAAACCCCACUCCCCCAUGUCAAAGGGGCUAACCCCCCCUUGGGGGGGAGAGUGUAAGUAGGACAGUUUGGUUGGGGCGACCGCCUUUUAAAGAGUAACGAAGGUGCGCUUAAGGUGCGCAAUUAAUGACUGAAGCCUGACUGCGAGGGGGACACCCCGAGCAGACACCCCUAAGCCCGCCCGAAGGGCGGCGGUGGGGUGGGCCAUAGUGACCCGUUAAUUUAGAGUGGAAUAGUUAACGAUCAACGAAUAAAAG
rnacentral:rRNA from 1 species